ACAAACUUGGUCAUUUAGAGGAAGUAAAAGUCGUAACAAGGUUUCCGUAGGUGAACCUGCGGAAGGAUCAUUAUCGAGUUAGGGUCUUUUGGCCCAACCUCCAACCCUUUGUCUACCUGACCAUUGUUGCUUUGGCGAGCCUGUUUCUAGUAAAAUAGAGGCUGCCGGAGGUGUAAUAUCCUCUGGAUCGUGCUCGUCAAUAGCCCUUAUUAAACUCUUUGUUAAAUAUGGAGUCUAAUCAAUAUCUAAAAGCUAAAACUUUCAACAACGGAUCUCUUGGUUCUGGCAUCGAUGAAGAACGCAGC
rnacentral:misc_RNA from 1 species